UAACAUCUAGCCUACAGUAUAGAACUGCCUGGAGGGCAGGGUUAGGAAUCUCUUCACUACCCUGAUUCUUGAUUCCUGGCUCUACCCUGUCUGUCCCUUUUCUUUUACCAGAUCUUUCUCUUCCCUAAACGUUUUCUUCUUUCCCUGGACAGGCAGCUUCCUUUGCGUGUAUUCAGAGGCAGUGAUGACUUGCUGUCCAGGCAGCUCCCUCCUGCAGACAGAAUGCUCAGGGUCACUAAACCAUUGCUUCUCUUUCGAAAGUACAGCUAGCUGCCACUUUCAUGUGGCCUCCAGAGUGUCUCCACUUACACCCCUGUGCUCCCCUGCCACACUGCUGGCUCAAGACAAGGCUGGCAAACCCUCCCAGAAACAUUUCUGGCCCAGAGAGCCUCUCUCUCUCUCCCCUUCCCUCAUGAGGCACAGCCAAUCCAAGUGCUCACUUUGAGCCGGUGGGUCAGUCACAGAGCAAAAGAGGGUUUACUUUCAGUUCCCUCUGUCAGGGUCAGAUCCAGAGAGCAUGCUGAAUGCCCUCUGCUUGCUCAGUAAGGGUGCCCCACCUGAGUCAAUGCUGUCAGCUGACAGUACAAUGCUUGUAGAAGUAGGAGGAAACAGUUCUCACUGGGAAGAAGCAAGGGCAAGAACCCAAGUGCCUCACCCUGAAAAGAGGCCCUGUUCCCUGGAGUCAGGGUGAACUGCAAAGCUUUGGCUGAGACCUGGGAUUUGAGAUACCACAAACCCUGCUGAACAGAGUGUGUGUUCAGCAAACUAACCUGUAUUCCCUACAGCCUAGGGCAGACAAGAGUAUA